AAAUAAGAAACAAAACACUUGUAUUUAGUUUCGACCUAAAAUUUUGAUGAAAGGCCCAUCCUUAUUUA
rnacentral:tRNA from 1 species